GGCAUAACGGAGUGGAAUUUACCUGAUCAUCACAGCUUUCAAUUUAAGAUAACCAAUAGAUUGUAUAUUCAGUAAAAUGGGCAUGUGCAUAUUAAACUAAGCACACCAAUUGGUGCAUCAAAUGUUGAAGUUACUGCCAUAAUAAGUAGAAAAUGCCAUUCUGCCCUAUUUUGCUUUAAAUCCAGUCUAAAGAAAAAUAUCCCUCUACAGAAGGAUUAUCAUGCUUAGUUUACACUUGUAUUCUUUUAGCUUUAAGACCUAGCAUAUUAUGCUUAUAUUCUGCUUACUACCACCAUGCUUUUAGUGCUUCAUUUUGUGCUGUGCAAUGUAUUGCAUGUGCAUUAAAUUUAUUUGCUGUAUUGUUAUAAAUGUGUUGUAUGUUUGUGAAAAGUUCAUUAGAGCUUGUGUUGUCUCUGCUUGUAUACCUUACCACCUCUAAAUAAAGCUUAUAAUUUAUUUAUGUAAAUUAUGCCAUUUAAUGUAAAUGU
rnacentral:lncRNA from 1 species